rnacentral:rRNA from 1 species
CCUACGGGUGGCAGCAGUGGGGAAUAUUGCACAAUGGGCGCAAGCCUGAUGCAGCCAUGCCGCGUGUGUGAAGAAGGCCUUCGGGUUGUAAAGCACUUUCAGCGGGGAGGAAGGCGGUGAGGUUAAUAACCUCAUCGAUUGACGUUACCCGCAGAAGAAGCACCGGCUAACUCCGUGCCAGCAGCCGCGGUAAUACGGAGGGUGCAAGCGUUAAUCGGAAUUACUGGGCGUAAAGCGCACGCAGGCGGUCUGUCAAGUCGGAUGUGAAAUCCCCGGGCUCAACCUGGGAACUGCAUUCGAAACUGGCAGGCUAGAGUCUUGUAGAGGGGGGUAGAAUUCCCGGUGUAGCGGUGAAAUGCGUAGAGAUCUGGAGGAAUACCGGUGGCGAAGGCGGCCCCCUGGACAAAGACUGACGCUCAGGUGCGAAAGCGUGGGGAGCAAACAGGAUUAGAUACCCCUGUAGUC